GGAAUCUUCCGCAAUGGACGAAAGUCUGACGGAGCAACGCCGCGUGAACGAUGAAGGCCUUCGGAUCGUAAACUCCUGUCGAGCGGGACGAACGGCCCGUGGCCUAAUACGCCGCGGGAGUGACGGUACCGCUAAAGGAAGCCCCGGCUAACUCCGUGCCAGCAGCCGCGGUAAUACGGGGGGGGCAAGCGUUGUUCGGAAUUACUGGGCGUAAAGGGCUCGUAGGCGGCCAACUAAGUCGGACGUGAAAUCCCCCGGCUCAACCGGGGAACUGCGUCCGAUACUGGAUGGCUUGAAUCCGGGAGAGGGAUGCGGAAUUCCAGGUGUAGCGGUGAAAUGCGUAGAUAUCUGGAGGAACACCGGUGGCGAAGGCGGCAUCCUGGACCGGCAUUGACGCUGAGGAGCGAAAGCCAGGGUAGC
rnacentral:rRNA from 1 species